rnacentral:tRNA from 1 species
GGUUCGUUAGCCAAGUGGUUAGGCACCGGUCUGCAAAACCGUCUACGGCGGUUCGAUUCCGCCACGAACCUCAC